CUCGUUUUGCUUUUGCACAUCCUCUGGACACACAAGAAAAAAAGAGAAGAGUAAAGAGGAAGAAGAAGCUGAAGAACAAAUUAAAUCAAGAAAGUAACUGCAGAACAACUAGCUGACAUUGAAUUAAUGAGGAAGAAUGUGAAGGUUGCGAUUCUACUUUCUGUCAUUUGCCUCCUCCUAACAUCUGUCGUUGCUCGCAGAGGGGGCGGCAGAAGAGGAGUCGGUGUAAGCUGGUGCGUCUCGUAGUUCUAGUAGCAGCAGCAGCAGCCCAGCCAUCACCUUAGAGUGGUCUUGUUAUGCCAUUUCUCUAUUUACUUACUUCUCAUUCUUUUACUUCCAAACUCAACUACAUCAUAAAUUUGAUCAGCGGUGUAAUUACGUAUUCUUUUUACCUUGUGUAAUAUUAAAUGUUAGGAUUAUGAUUCCUACUAAAGACAACAACCUUCAUUUGAAUAAUCGG
rnacentral:lncRNA from 1 species